ensembl:lncRNA
AAAAAAGAGACAGAAAAAUAUGAAAAAAAGAAAAAGAAAAAAAGAAAAGAAAAAAACAGUAGAUGAAAAAAGAAAAAACAAAAGGAAAAACGAAUAAUGACAAGAGAAGAAAGGUAAAGAGAAAAGAAGAAAAAAGCCAAGUCAAAAAGUAAAGAAUAACUCGAAGGAAGGAGUGGAUGGCAAGAAAUACAGAGAAAGCAGUGCAUAGCACAGCAGAGCAAAGCAAGGCAAAAUAGCAGCCAAAGCCACGAGAAUCAAGAAGUCAGUGAAGAGCAGGAAAGGAAUGGAGGAAUCUGUCCAGAGCUGUGCCCCUGCUUGCCACAGGAGCUGCGCGGAGGAGAAGAACGUGGGCCAAAAGGAAUGGAGGAAUCUGUCCAGAGCUGUGCCCCUGCUUGCCACAGGAGCUGCGCGGGAGGAGAAGAACGUGGGCCAAAAGGAAUGGAGGAAUCUGUCCAGAGCUGUGCCCCUGCUUGGCCACAGGAGCUGCGCGGGAGGAGAAGAACGUGGGCCAAAAGGUAAGAGGAGCUCCUUUGGGUUCUGGGCUUGAAGCAAAGCUGAGAAGCCAUGCCCGGGAGGAGGUGUGGGUAGCUACAGGCCACCUUGCUAUCUCCCCAAGAGAUGAGGUGUGGGCUAGGCACCGGGCAGGAGUGCUGGCCAGAAGCAAGCAUCUCUGUGGAGGAAGGCAAAGGGCGGAGGAGGUUCAAGGGUAGCUACCGGGCAUGGCCUUGCUCAGCAAGGGGAGGAAAAGCCUGAAGGGCACGAGAAGGGGAUAGAGAAGGGCAGGCAGUAGGCGUGAAGCUGCGAGCAGAGUAGAGAGCAACUUGGCAGAGCAGCAAGCAGAGUAGGCAAGUGUUGAGGUUUGGCGUGAGUAGCAGCAGCAAAAGCCCAGAGCAUCAAGAAGCAGGAAGUGAGGAGAAGGUAAGUGAAGGGCAGGCAAGGUAAUGGGAGGCAAAGGCAAG